UGGGGAAUUUUGGACAAUGGGCGAAAGCCUGAUCCAGCAAUGCCGCGUGUGUGAAGAAGGCCUUCGGGUUGUAAAGCACUUUUGUCCGGAAAGAAAUCCUUGGCUCUAAUACAGUCGGGGGAUGACGGUACCGGAAGAAUAAGCACCGGCUAACUACGUGCCAGCAGCCGCGGUAAUACNUAGGGUGCAAGCGUUAAUCGGAAUUACUGGGCGUAAAGCGUGCGCAGGCGGUUUGCUAAGACCGUGUGAAAUCCCCGGGCUCAACCUGGGAACUGCAUUGGUGACUGGCAGGCUAGAGUAUGGCAGAGGGGGGUAGAAUUCCACGUGUAGCAGUGAAAUGCGUAGAGAUGUGGAGGAAUACCGAUGGCGAAGGCAGCCCCCUGGGCCAAUACUGACGCUCAUGCACGAAAGCGUGGGGAGCAAACAGGAUUAGAUACCCUGGUAGUCCACGCCCUAAAACGAUGUCAACUAGUUGUUGGGGAUUCAUUUCCUUAGUAACGUAGCUAACGCGUGAAGUUGACCGCCUGGGGAGUACGGUCGCAAAGAUUAAAAACUUAAAGGAAUUGACGGGGUCAUAGCUGUUUCCU
rnacentral:rRNA from 1 species